GAUGAACGCUGGCGGCAUGCUUAAUACAUGCAAGUCGAGCGAACAGACGUGUAGCUUGCUGCUUUGGCGUUAGCGGCGGACGGGUGAGUAACACGUGGAUAACCUACCCAUCAGACUGGGAUAACUUCGACAAACCGGAGCUAAUACCGGAUAACAGGUUGAACCGCAUGGUGCAACAGUGAAAGACGGGCUUGCUGUCACUGAUAGAUGGAUCCGCGCCGCAGUAGCUGGUUGGUAAGGUAACGGCUUACAAAGGCAACGAUACGUAGCCGACCUGGGAGAUUGAUAGGCCACACUGGAACUGGGAGACGGUCCAGACUCCUACGGGAGGCAGCAGUAGGGAAUCUUCCGCAGUGGGAGAAAGCAUGUCGGAGCAAUGCCGCGUAAGUGGAGAAGGUCUUCGGAUCGUAAAACUCUGUUAUUAGGGAAGAACAAAUGUGUAAGUAACUAUGCACGUAUUGACGGUACCUAAUCAGAAAGCAACGGCUAACUCCGUG
rnacentral:rRNA from 1 species